rnacentral:rRNA from 1 species
AUUGAACGCUGGCGGCGUGCUUAACACAUGCAAGUCGAACGAAGUGGCGAACGGGUGAGUAACGCGUAAUCAACCUGCCCUUCAGAGGGGGACAACAGUUGGAAACGACUGCUAAUAACGCAUACUGAAGGAGGGGAUUGCGUCUGAUUGGCUAGUUGGAGGGGUACCGGCCCACCAAGGCGAUGUUCAGUAGCCGGUCUGAGAGGAUGACCGGCCACAUUGGGACGGAGACACGGCCCAGACUCCUACGGGAGGCAGCAGUGGGGAAUCUUCCGCAAUGGACGAAAGUCUGACGGAGCAACGCCGCGUGGGUGAUGACGGCCUUCGGGUUGUAAAGCUCUGUUAAUCGGGACGCGGUACCGGAAUAGAAAGCCACGGCUAACUACGUGCCAGCAGCCGCGGUAAUUC